UAGGUGUGAGCGGUAUUCCACGCCGUUCGUGCCGCAGCUAACGCAUUAAGCACCCCGCCUGGGGAGUACGGCCGCAAGGCUAAAACUCAAAGGAAUUGACGGGGGCCCGCACAAGCAGCGGAGCAUGUGGCUUAAUUCGACGCAACGCGAAGAACCUUACCAAGGCUUGACAUACACCGAAAACUCGUAGAGAUACGGGGUCCGCAAGGGCGGUGUACAGGUGGUGCAUGGUUGUCGUCAGCUCGUGUCGUGAGAUGUUGGGUUAAGUCCCGCAACGAGCGCAACCCUCGUUCUAUGUUGCCAGCGCGUCAUGGCGGGGACUCAUAGGAGACUGCCGGGGUCAACUCGGAGGAAGGUGGGGACGACGUCAAAUCAUCAUGCCCCUUAUGUCUUGGGCUGCACACAUGCUACAAUGGCCGGUACAAAGGGCUGCUAAGCCGCGAGGUGGAGCGAAUCCCAAAAAGCCGGUCUCAGUUCGGAUUGGGGUCUGCAACUCGACCCCAUGAAGUCGGAGUUGCUAGUAAUCGCAGAUCAGCAACGCUGCGGUGAAUACGUUCCCGGGCCUUGUACACACCGCCCGUCACGUCACGAAAGUCGGUAACACCCGAAGCCAGUGGCCCAACUCGUAAGAGAGGGAGCUGUCGAAGGUGGGAUCGGCGAUUGGGACGAAGUCGUAACAAGGUAACC
rnacentral:rRNA from 1 species